rnacentral:rRNA from 1 species
GACGAACGCUGGCGGCGUGCCUAACACAUGCAAGUCGAACGAAACCGUCGGGUCUUGUUGCGGAGGGGGGCGGAAGGCGGGGGAAGCUGCCCGUGAGUUCGGAAUCACUGCCCGAGGGGGGUCUUAAGGCCGGUUAAGCUCUUAGGGCCAAGGAUUUCUUGCCUUUGGAUGGGCCCGGGUUGGAUUAGGUGGUUGGUAGGGGAAAAGCCUACCAAGGGCACGAUCCUUAGCUGGUCGGAGAGGAGGGUCAGCCACAAUGGGAAUGAGACACGGCCCAGACUCCGACGGGAGGGAGCAGUGGGGAAUAUUGGACGAUGGGCGAAGGCCUGAUCCAGCAAUGCGGGGUAAGUGAUGAAGCCCUUAGGGUUGUAAAGCUCUUUUACCCGGGAUGAUAAUGACAGUACCGGGUGAAUAAGCUCCGGCUAACUCCGUG